UACAGAGGUCUCAAGCGUUGUUCGGAAUCACUGGGCGUAAAGGGUGCGCAGGCCGCACGGGAAGUCAAAUGUGUAAUCCAGGGGCUCAACCCCUGAACUGCGCUUGAUACUUCCGUGCUAGAACCUUGGAGAGGAGUCUGGAAUUCUCGGUGUAGCAGUGAAAUGCGUGGAUAUCGAGAAGAACACUUAGGGCGUAGGCAGGACUCUGGACAAGUGUUGACGCUCAUGCACGAAGGCUAGGGUAGCGAACGGG
rnacentral:rRNA from 1 species